rnacentral:rRNA from 1 species
UACGUAGGGUGCGAGCGUUGUCCGGAAUUACUGGGCGUAAAGAGCUCGUAGGUGGUUUGUCGCGUUGUUCGUGAAAUCUCACGGCUUAACUGUGAGCGUGCGGGCGAUACGGGCAGACUAGAGUACUGCAGGGGAGACUGGAAUUCCUGGUGUAGCGGUGGAAUGCGCAGAUAUCAGGAGGAACACCGGUGGCGAAGGCGGGUCUCUGGGCAGUAACUGACGCUGAGGAGCGAAAGCGUGGGGAUCAAACAGG